CGCCCCUCACCGCGUGCGAACUCUGCGCGAGGGCGGGUGGGACUUUGCCUGCGGGCGUGAAGUGCCCAGCUGGGGCUCGUGCCUACCCCGCACCUCCACCGAGGGCCUCUUGGUCCUAGAAUCUUGAACAUGCGCUUAGGCGUAUUUCUUUGCGCGAAGAACGUGGGCAUUUGAGAGUUUCUUUGCAUGAAGUAAGGAUGCGCUAAGUGUCUAGCUGCCCUGGAUCUCUUUACUAAGUUCUUUAGCAGCAACCCUCUUCACCUCCAACGCCUCUUCCAGACCUGAACUUGGAUGUUUAUGCGAACGGAAGGUGGCAAACUGCCCCAAGGAAGAAGUGUCAGGAAAUGCUCUGUGAUCAAGGAAGAGAAAAUGCAGGAUCUAGGCUUCUCCGUGAAACAGACUGUGAGGGGGAGUGUGUCUGUAGUUUAUUAUGGACUACAUCCAGGAUCAUCAAUACAGAAGUGGGCUCUAAGGAAGAAGGAACUCUUUCAGAUCUCUGCCUGCACAACUGGCAAUAUGAAAGACAAUUCAAGUAACCGUGAGGAAGGACAGUGAAUGUGUGCUGAACUUCUUCCCAGAUGCAGGAGGAAGAAGAGGAAGAGAAUUUGAAACUGAAAAUUUAAAAAAAAAUUAACCCACCAAAAAAACCCAGCUGGAGCCAUUACAUUUAGAUUAUGAAUUCAGAGUCCUUUUUGUGCUUAUAGAAGAAGUAGAAAAGGUACCAAAGAAAACAAAGAAAAGAAAAAGAGCUGGGCAAGAUCAAGUGUACACAGAGGAAGUCUGUACUGGUGGUGACACAUUUGUCUCCCAAGCCGUGUCCCAGAAUAGAUUCUCAAGGUAUUUUAAGGAGAAGAUACCAGAGGGCCAGAAAAAAAAUCUCACACCUUAUUGCCAAAAAAAGGCAACCAAGAAAAGAUCAAUUAAUAAUUUGCCCAUAUGCCUACUUUUCCAUCUAAAUAAUACUUUUAGGAGAAUAAUCUCCAUAUGCACUGAGGACAUCCUUGAUUGAGGUGUUAGAAGCAAAUAGGCUUUCACAAUUGACAUUCCACAGUUGACUACAACUUUACCAUUAGGUAAAUGACUGAAAGAUGUAGAAAAUACAAGAUCCCACUGUACUUGUUUGGUGACUGUAAAUAAACAUUUGGUUCAGUAGCACAAAACACUGUAAAUGCUCUACAACAACAAGGUAUCUACCACGCAACUGGCAACAUUAUACAAAAUUCUUUAAAAGCUGUAACAACAGAGGUCUCACAGAAUCAGAGAAUUUGAGAUUUGGAAGAAAUCUCAGCAGCCAGCUAGCUCAACCUAUACACAAAAGGAAUCUCCACUACAGCAUAUGUGUCAUCCAGACUCUAUUUGAAGACCUCCAAGGAGGGUGAACCCACUACCUCUUGAGGCAGUGCAUUCUACUUUUGGACAACUCUAAAUGUUAGGAAAUUUUUCUUGACAUCAUACCUAAAUUUGCGUCUUUGAGGUUUCCACAUAGUUCUGCCCUCUGGGGUCAUUCAGAACGAAUCUAAUCCUUACUCCUCCAUAUAACAGCCUUUUCUAUACUCAAAGAAAGUUAUCAUAUCCCUCCGGAGUCUAGUCCUCUUUUUUAAGUCUCAACAUGCCUAAGCAUUUUAAUUAAUCAAUGUAUGUUAUGGACUUAAGGCCCUUCACCAUGCUGAUUGCUCUCUGGACACUCUCCAGCUUAUCAACAUCCUUCUUAAAUAAUGGUACCUAGAACACAAAACAGUAUUCCAGAUGAGGUCUAAUGAGGGCAGAGCAUAAUGGACCUAGUCUUGUCCUUUACUGUAGCCCAGGAUUGUAUUAUCUUUUUUGGCUGGGUCCACUAAAAUCUCCAGAUCUUUUUCAGAACUGCUAUCAAUGCCUCUCCCAUUUUAUACUUGUGAAUUCCAUUUGGGGUGGGGUGGGAUAUCCAAGUGUAAAACUUCACACUUACUCCUAUUGAAUUUCAUCUUAUUAGACUCAGUCCAAUGUCAUGAUGCUUUUGGAUCCUGAAUCUGGCAUCUAUUAGCUCUCCCUUCCAGCUCUGUGUCAUUUUCAAGAUUGCAUAUCAUCUAUGCCUCUAUACAAGUCAGUGAUAAAUGUGUUAAAAGCAAAGGACCAAACACAGAUCCCCGGGGCUCUAUAAUGGACAUCUGUCAUUGUUGGCACUGAGCUAUUAAUAAAUACUUUUUGAAUA